AGAGCACCAGCUCGAGACCCAACGUGUUCCGGCUGCCUGCCCACAACCAGACUAACCCCCCCGUCUACUUGGCCAGCGGUUACUACCCGGACAACGUCUCGUUGGUGGUGAGGGACGAGCGGGACAAGGCCGAGAGCUUCAGCGACAAAUCGUUCCUCUCCCUCGCCGACAAAACCUACAGCCUGAUCAGCUACUUGCCCGGGGAGGGCCACGGGCCCACGCACUGCAACCUCACCUACGAGCAGGAAGACAUUCCCUGCGAGCCGAUCACAGGUGAACAGAAAUGUAUCCCCAUGUUCAAGACGAUGAACCAGACGAGCAUUUUAACCUGCUCGCCGUGACGGUGUUUGGGAUCCGUGUCCUGUUCGUUAAAAGUCUGGCUUUUAAUGUGCUGAUGACGCUGAGAGCUUGGAUCUCCUGAGGGAGGCGUCUCAAGGGUCAACUGGUCCACGAAAGCGGGUUGGAGUCCGCGGAUAAAAAUCGAUUCGAUUCUAUUACCAACUCAAUCAUAGCCUGGCUUGCUCUCUCGCUCUCUCUCUCGCUCUCUCUCUCUCGCGCUCCGCACAAGCACAUCAACUCGCAGCAUCGCGGUCAGAGCGCUGGGUUCAAUUCCCGGACAGGGCGACACCCACCCCGCACACAGUCACUACCCUUUACGGUGUGUCCUGUGAAGCUCCUCGAGGCGUUCUGAAGCCGUGAUCAGGCGCCGGGUCAACCGCCAGGAUCGCUGAUAGCUUAAACGCUUAUAUAUAUUUUUUUUUUUUU